rnacentral:tRNA from 1 species
GUAUAGUUCAGUGGUAGAGUGCAUGCCUGGCAUGCACGAGGUCCUGGGUUCAAUCCCCAGUAC